AGAGUUUGAUCCUGGCUCAGGACGAACGCUGGCGGCGUGCUUAAUACAUGCAAGUCAACUGAGCUUAAGGUAGCCAUAUUUUAAGGGAGGUGGCGCACGGGUGAGUAACACGUAGGUAAUCUCCCUUUGGGUCUGACAUAAUCCCGCGAAAGCGGGACUAAAAUCAGAUGAUGCAGCGGCUCGACAUCGAGACAGUUGUUAAACCUUCGGGCCCUGAAGAUGAGCCUGCGUCUGAUUAGGUAGUUGGCGGAGUAAAAGCCCACCAAGCCUGCGAUCAGUAGCUGGUCUGAGAGGAUGAUCAGCCACACUGGAACUGAGACACGGUCCAGACUCCUACGGGAGGCAGCAGUAAGGAAUAUUGCUCAAUGGCCGAAAGGCUGAAGCAGCAACGCCGCGUGGAGGAUGAAAUACUUUUGUAUGUAAACUCCUGUAAGAGGGGAAAAAUAUACAGUUAAUACUGUAUUGAUUGUACCCUCAGAGUAAGCACCGGCUAACUACGUGCCAGCAGCCGCGGUAAUACGUAGGGUGCUAGAGUUGUCCGGAUUUACUGGGUGUAAAGGGUGCUCAGGUGGGUUUGUAAGUCAGAGGUGAAAUCCCAAAGCUUAACUUUGGAGCUGCCUUUGAUACUGCAAGUCUGGAGUUUGAGAGAGGGCAAUGGAAUAUCUGGUGUAGCAGUGAAAUGCGUAGAUAUCAGAUAGAACACCAAUGGCGAAGGCAGUUGCCUGGCUCAUAACUGACGCUAAAGCACGAAAGUGUGGGGAGCAAACAGGAUUAGAUACCCUGGUAGUCCACACCCUAAACGAUGAAUACUAGAUGUUGGUCCUUUUUAGGAUCAGUAUCCAAGCUAACGCAUUAAGUAUUCCACCUGGGAAGUACAAUCGCAAGGUUGAAACUCAAAGGAAUUGACGG
rnacentral:rRNA from 1 species